GCCGAGCUUGGUAACGCUAGCUUGUAACUCGAGUGAGGGUAUUAAGGUGGCUUAGUAGUGAAUACUACUGAGACAGAGAUGGUGCAUGGCUCACUGAUGAACCUCGUUG
rnacentral:SRP_RNA from 1 species